CUUCUGAUCGAGCACAAAGUGGAGGCAACAUCCAAGUCUGGUGUCACUGACCAGAAGCCUGUCCUGGAUUUUCAUGGAUGUCGGGGUAUGUGAUCCUCCUUUAAAAGGAGGAGGGCAGUGGGUACAGAGACCCUGUGUCCCCCCUCCCCCGUUAGUAUUAUCUACAUAAUAGUUAAGAGAGUGAGCAGAUGCUGAGCGUGAAGACAGCAUAGGACUUCAUCUGGUGACGGCACCCUGCUGCUGGCCCUGUAAAGUCUUCCAGGAUAAGAAUUCCUCAUUGUUAAGGUUGCAUUUGUUCAUUCUUUCAUUUCAAUGCUUGGAGCUGUAAGAGAUUGGUGAGCCACUUUUUUCUUGGUGGGGCCAUCCCCAGUACAGAAAG